ensembl:misc_RNA Metazoa_SRP Metazoan signal recognition particle RNA
GCCAGGCGUGGUGGCUCACGCCUGUAAUCCCAGCACUUUGGGAGGCUGAGGCGGGCGGAUCACCUGAGGUCAGGAGUUUUGAGACCAGCCUGGCCAACGUGGUGAAAGCCCGUCUCUA